rnacentral:rRNA from 1 species
GGGUUGUGAGGUUAAGCGACUAAGCGUACACGGUGGAUGCCCUGGCAGUCAGAGGCGAUGAAGGACGUGCUAAUCUGCGAUAAGCGUCGGUAAGGUGAUAUGAACCGUUAUAACCGGCGAUUUCCGAAUGGGGAAACCCAGUGUGAUUCGUCACACUAUCAUUAACUGAAUCCAUAGGUUAAUGAGGCGAACCGGGGGAACUGAAACAUCUAAGUACCCCGAGGAAAAGAAAUCAACCGAGAUUCCCCCAGUAGCGGCGAGCGAACGGGGAGCAGCCCAGAGCCUGAAUCAGUGUGUGUGUUAGUGGAAGCGUCUGGAAAGGCGCGCGAUACAGGGUGACAGCCCCGUACACAAAAAUGCACAUGCUGUGAGCUCGAUGAGUAGGGCGGGACACGUGGUAUCCUGUCUGAAUAUGGGGGGACCAUCCUCCAAGGCUAAAUACUCCUGACUGACCGAUAGUGAACCAGUACCGUGAGGGAAAGGCGAAAAGAACCCCGGCGAGGGGAGUGAAAAAGAACCUGAAACCGUGUACGUACAAGCAGUGGGAGCACAGAGCAAUCUGUGUGACUGCGUACCUUUUGUAUAAUGGGUCAGCGACUUAUAUUCUGUAGCAAGGUUAACCGAAUAGGGGAGCCGAAGGGAAACCGAGUCUUAACUGGGCGUUAAGUUGCAGGGUAUAGACCCGAAACCCGGUGAUCUAGCCAUGGGCAGGUUGAAGGUUGGGUAACACUAACUGGAGGACCGAACCGACUAAUGUUGAAAAAUUAGCGGAUGACUUGUGGCUGGGGGUGAAAGGCCAAUCAAACCGGGAGAUAGCUGGUUCUCCCCGAAAGCUAUUUAGGUAGCGCCUCGUGAAUUCAUCUCCGGGGGUAGAGCACUGUUUCGGCAAGGGGGUCAUCCCGACUUACCAACCCGAUGCAAACUGCGAAUACCGGAGAAUGUUAUCACGGGAGACACACGGCGGGUGCUAACGUCCGUCGUGAAGAGGGAAACAACCCAGACCGCCAGCUAAGGUCCCAAAGUCAUGGUUAAGUGGGAAACGAUGUGGGAAGGCCCAGACAGCCAGGAUGUUGGCUUAGAAGCAGCCAUCAUUUAAAGAAAGCGUAAUAGCUCACUGGUCGAGUCGGCCUGCGCGGAAGAUGUAACGGGGCUAAACCAUGCACCGAAGCUGCGGCAGCGACGCUGAUGCGUUGUUGGGUAGGGGAGCGUUCUGUAAGCCUGCGAAGGUGUGCUGUGAGGCAUGCUGGAGGUAUCAGAAGUGCGAAUGCUGACAUAAGUAACGAUAAAGCGGGUGAAAAGCCCGCUCGCCGGAAGACCAAGGGUUCCUGUCCAACGUUAAUCGGGGCAGGGUGAGUCGACCCCUAAGGCGAGGCCGAAAGGCGUAGUCGAUGGGAAACAGGUUAAUAUUCCUGUACUUGGUGUUACUGCGAAGGGGGGACGGAGAAGGCUAUGUUGGCCGGGCGACGGUUGUCCCGGUUUAAGCGUGUAGGCUGGUUUUCCAGGCAAAUCCGGAAAAUCAAGGCUGAGGCGUGAUGACGAGGCACUACGGUGCUGAAGCAACAAAUGCCCUGCUUCCAGGAAAAGCCUCUAAGCAUCAGGUAACAUCAAAUCGUACCCCAAACCGACACAGGUGGUCAGGUAGAGAAUACCAAGGCGCUUGAGAGAACUCGGGUGAAGGAACUAGGCAAAAUGGUGCCGUAACUUCGGGAGAAGGCACGCUGAUAUGUAGGUGAAGUCCCUCGCGGAUGGAGCUGAAAUCAGUCGAAGAUACCAGCUGGCUGCAACUGUUUAUUAAAAACACAGCACUGUGCAAACACGAAAGUGGACGUAUACGGUGUGACGCCUGCCCGGUGCCGGAAGGUUAAUUGAUGGGGUUAGCGCAAGCGAAGCUCUUGAUCGAAGCCCCGGUAAACGGCGGCCGUAACUAUAACGGUCCUAAGGUAGCGAAAUUCCUUGUCGGGUAAGUUCCGACCUGCACGAAUGGCGUAAUGAUGGCCAGGCUGUCUCCACCCGAGACUCAGUGAAAUUGAACUCGCUGUGAAGAUGCAGUGUACCCGCGGCAAGACGGAAAGACCCCGUGAACCUUUACUAUAGCUUGACACUGAACAUUGAGCCUUGAUGUGUAGGAUAGGUGGGAGGCUUUGAAGUGUGGACGCCAGUCUGCAUGGAGCCGACCUUGAAAUACCACCCUUUAAUGUUUGAUGUUCUAACGUUGACCCGUAAUCCGGGUUGCGGACAGUGUCUGGUGGGUAGUUUGACUGGGGCGGUCUCCUCCUAAAGAGUAACGGAGGAGCACGAAGGUUGGCUAAUCCUGGUCGGACAUCAGGAGGUUAGUGCAAUGGCAUAAGCCAGCUUGACUGCGAGCGUGACGGCGCGAGCAGGUGCGAAAGCAGGUCAUAGUGAUCCGGUGGUUCUGAAUGGAAGGGCCAUCGCUCAACGGAUAAAAGGUACUCCGGGGAUAACAGGCUGAUACCGCCCAAGAGUUCAUAUCGACGGCGGUGUUUGGCACCUCGAUGUCGGCUCAUCACAUCCUGGGGCUGAAGUAGGUCCCAAGGGUAUGGCUGUUCGCCAUUUAAAGUGGUACGCGAGCUGGGUUUAGAACGUCGUGAGACAGUUCGGUCCCUAUCUGCCGUGGGCGCUGGAGAACUGAGGGGGGCUGCUCCUAGUACGAGAGGACCGGAGUGGACGCAUCACUGGUGUUCGGGUUGUCAUGCCAAUGGCACUGCCCGGUAGCUAAAUGCGGAAGAGAUAAGUGCUGAAAGCAUCUAAGCACGAAACUUGCCCCGAGAUGAGUUCUCCCUGACUCCUUGAGAGUCCUGAAGGAACGUUGAAGACGACGACGUUGAUAGGCCGGGUGUGUAAGCGCAGCGAUGCGUUGAGCUAACCGGUACUAAUGAACCGUGAGGCUUAACCUUACAACGCCGAAGGUGUUU